GGAUUGUGGCUCAGUGGUAAAGCACUUGCCUAGCCUGUGUGAGGCACUGGGUUCAAUUCUCAGCACCG
rnacentral:tRNA from 1 species